UUUAAUUUUUUCUAGCACCGUCUUGUUCCAUUUGAGUUCAUUGCUGUAAAGCAAGUAAACCGAGAACGACACCACCUCCAUCUCUCUAUCUCUCGCGCUCCCCUCUUGUUCCUCCUCGCAGAUCCCAACCUCAUUUCCGCCAUCUCCCCCAACACACAUUACCCAAAUUCCAAACUGAAAAGAAUUCGCGAACCUUCCACCGCACUCAACAUUCAACAACUUCAACCAAAAGAAAAAAGAAGUGAUGCCCCUCCUCACUCCCUGAAUUAGAAAAAGAGGAGAGAAUAAGCCAUGGACUCCCCACCUUCCCAACAUCACCAGUGGGGAAGGUCACCAACGGAAUCUCCAAGCCAUUCCCGGCACAACAGCCACGGCCACGGCCACAACAACCUUAUUAGAACCUCUUCGUCUUCUUCACCCCUCACCAAAUCAAACUCCGGCAACAUAAAUUCUCUCUCCUCAAUCCUCAACAACCCUCAUGCGUCCGAAGCCAACGCCUCCUGGGUCGCCUGGUGGUCCUCCUCCACGGUCCUCGCCCCUCCCGACUUCGCCCCCAUCGCCGCCACCAAAGCCGCCUCCGACAUCACCCGAUCCGACUUCAACACCUACCUUACCCCUAUCUCCGAACCCUACCACCGCUUCGAGGACAUCCGCAACCACGCUUCCAAGGAGAUCGGGGAUUUGUCGUCGUUGCCAUCGUCGUCCUCGUUAGAUGGUGGUGGCGGCGGUGGUGCUGGGGAGGCGCUCGUUGCGUGCCUGCGGGAGGUGCCGGCGCUUUACUUCAAGGAGGACUUCAGGCUGGAGGACGGGGCGACGUUCAAGGCCGCUUGCCCGUUCUCCGGCAUGGCGGAGAAUCUGGCGCUGCAGGAGAAGCUCUCGCACUAUUUGGAUGUGGUGGAGCUGCACCUGGUGAGGGAGAUCUCGCUCCGGUCGAGCUCGUUCUUCGAGGCCCAGGGGCAGCUGCAGGACCUCAACGCAAAGAUCGUUGAAGGAUGCGCUCGGAUUCGACAGCUUAAGGAAACGAUUAGGCUCAUCGAUUCGGAUCUGGUCGAGUCUGCUAGGCAGAUUCAGGAGCUUAAUGGCACCAGGACCAAUCUCCUCGCCCUUCAACAGAAAUUGAGGCUUAUAUUUUACGUCAACCAAGCUGUUUCUGCUCUUAAAUUGCUUGUUGCAUCUGCAGAUUGUGCCGGGGCGCUAGAUGUAACAGAUGAUUUGCAGCAUUUGCUGGAUGGAGAUGAGCUGACUGGUCUGCAUUGCUUUCGUCAUCUUAGAGAUCAUGUAAUAGGUUUUAUAGAAUCCAUAAACAGCAUUCUUUCAGCAGAAUUUAUUCGAACUUCCAUACAUGAUGCCUUGGAAACAGAUGUGAGAAUUUUAUCCAAAGCCAAAGCAAGGGCUUCCCUUUUUGUGAAUGGAAAAGAUAAUGAAGUAAAGUUGGAAGAAGAAGAAACUACUAAUCUCAAAGAUCGUCUUCUUCCUACUGUAAUUGGAUUGCUUAGAACAGCUAAACUUCCCUCUGUUCUGAGGAUCUAUCGGGAUACUCUAACUACUGAUAUGAAGAGUGCUAUUAAGACUGCUGUUGCUGAGUUGCUUCCGGUUCUUGUUGCACGAGGUUCAGAUUUAGAGUUCUUUUCUGGAGACAGAGCUGUAGAUGCAGAUGGUGGUGGUGCAUCACUUGCUAGCAAGUUGAGGAGCCUAUCAUCUGAUUGCUUUGUGCAUCUUCUUAGUGCUAUUUUCAUGAUAGUAGAGGCACAUUUAGUGCGGGCGGCUGAAGUGAAAAGGGCCAUUGAAUGGAUUUUGAACAACCGUGAUGGUCAUUAUGCUGCUGAUUCUGUUGCUGCUGCAAUUGCUCAUGGUGCUGCGGCUGCAGAAACACCGAAUGAAAGUGAAGUUCACAGUCAUACAUUAUUGUCACAUUCACCACGACAAAAUGGUGCAAGGGGUUCGUUUCAGGGAAGAGCAGUUGAUGCUGCAAGCUCUGCAAACAUGUCAAAAAAUUUCAGAGCUGAUGUAUUGCGAGAAAACGCAGAAGCUGUAUUUGCAGCAUGUGAUGCUGCUCAUGGAAGAUGGGCAAAGCUUCUUGGGGUCCGUGCUGUUCUCCAUCCAAGGCUGAAAUUGCAGGAGUUUCUGAACAUAUAUAACAUCACCCAGGAAUUCAUUACUGCUACAGAAAAAGUUGGUGGAAGAUUGGGAUACAGCAUCCGUGGGACACUGCAGUCUCAGGCCAAAGCCUUUGUUGAUUUCCAGCAUGAAUCUCGGAUGACAAAAAUUAGGGCAGUGCUUGACCAAGAAACAUGGGUGGAGAUAGAUAUUCCAGAUGAAUUUCAAUCCAUUAUCAAAGUGGUUUUUUCAUCUGACGCAUUGCAUUCUGAGAACCUUAAUGAAUCUGAGGAUGUUAAUUCAACUAGUUACAAAGAUGUUUUGCCAACAUCGGACACUGGACAGUCAAAUGCUGAACAACCCGAGGAGCAGAGUAAUUCCACUGAAUUGGCUACUACUGAAUUAGAUAACACUAAAGCCCAGGCUGAUUCAAUUGAAAGUAGAGCUAAUAGUAAAAUUUCAUCAGCACAAAGUAAAAAUACAGAGAAAGAUCAUAAAAAAUCUGCAUCUCAGGCUCUUUACUACAAAGGUGUUGGUUAUCACAUGGUAAACUGUGGCUUAAUAUUGCUGAAGAUGCUGUCAGAGUACAUUGAUAUGAACAACCUGUUGCCGUCACUUUCUUCAGAAGUUGUACAUCGUGUGGUAGAAAUUUUGAAAUUUUUCAACACACGAACUUGUCAACUUGUGCUUGGGGCUGGUGCUAUGCAGGUGGUGUCUGGUUUGAAGUCCAUUACUUCGAAACAUCUGGCAUUGGCAAGUCAAGUCAUUAGUUUUACCCAUGCUAUUAUUCCUGAAAUUCGGCAUAUUCUUUUUCUAAAAGUACCGGAGACUAGAAAAGCCUUAUUGCUUUCGGAGAUUGAUCGAGUUGCUCAGGAUUAUAAAGUUCACAGAGAUGAAAUACAUUCCAAAUUAGUUCAGAUAAUGCGAGAGAGAUUACUGGUCCAUUUGCGUGGGUUGCCUCAAAUUGUUGAGAGUUGGAAUAGACCUGAGGAUACUGAUCCCCAGCCUAGUCAGUUUGCCAAGUCUCUUACAAAGGAAGUUGGAUACCUCCAACGUGUUCUGUCUCGUACUUUGCAUGAAGAUGAUGUUCAAGCAAUCUUCAGGAAAGUUGUCGUCAUAUUUCACUCACAAAUUUCGGAAGCAUUUUCGAAAUUUGAUAUAACCACCUCCCAAGCACAGAAUAGGCUCCAACGAGAUAUCAAACAUAUUCUUCAAUGUAUACGGUCUUUACCAACGGGCGACUUGAGUAAAUCAGAUACCCCAAAUUGGGGGCAGCUGGAUGAAUUCAUGGUGCAAAAAUUUGGGACUGAUGCUGUUCAGUAAAAGAAAUUGUAAAGUAGCAACUCAAUUGGUUAUGUUGGAAGGCUAACAUACUUUGGAGGAUGUGGGGGUGAUGUUAACCUUCUUCACUCUGCAUUUUUGUGUAACACUAAGUUGAGGCCUUCGGUUGGUCCGUCAUAGAUAUACAAAUUAAUAUAUUAUUUCUGAGCAUUGUGCAGCCGUGAUUGGUCGCUUAAGGCAGAAGUUUUGUAGCAGUCACUGUUGAUAUUUAAUUAUUGGUUUGUCUCCAUAAUUGUAAUGUUAUGUUGAAAAUAGAUAUUUGAUUUAGUGAAUGAAUCGUCCCCUUCAGCUUUCUUUAAUUUCGUGCACGAAUAUACAAUACAUCCAUCAAUAUGUAUACAAUUCAACAAAUCUGUAGUCACGUACCAAUUCGUGUGUUGUUAAAAUGGGAUUAGUGCAUA